UAAAUAAAACAAUCACUCAGCUCCUCCGACGAUGAAGAGCGCGGCUAUCUGGGUGAACUGAUGCGAAUUGCAGGACUCAGUGAACUUCGACACCUCGAACACACAUUGCGACCCCGGUAUCCCAUCGUCCCGGGGCCCCGUUCGUUCAUUUAUAU
rnacentral:rRNA from 1 species